rnacentral:rRNA from 1 species
UACAGAGGUCCCAAGCGUUGUUCGGAUUUACUGGGCGUAAAGGGUGCGUAGGUGGUUGGGUAAGUCUGAUGUGAAAUCUCCGGGCUCAACCCGGAAAUGGCAUUGGAAACUACCUGACUAGAGGGUUGGAGGGGGGACUGGAAUACUUGGUGUAGCAGUGAAAUGCGUAGAUAUCAAGUGGAACACCAGUGGCGAAGGCGAGUCCCUGGACAACUCCUGACACUGAGGCACGAAAGCCAGGGGAGCAAACGGG